GAGGGGAAGGAGAAAAUCUAGUUUAUAUUCUGUGUGAAUAGCUUUCAAUAUCUUCCAGGUGGGGGCAACCGUAAGCCACUUUUGAGAGAAGGGAGAACAGGCUCUUUAAGCUCCCUGAGUCUAGUUACAGAAGACUUCCUGGCAGUAACACCGUGAAUAAAACAACCACAAGCUUCCAGGAGAUGAGACUUCUAGGCUCUGCUCCAGACAACACCCGGCCAUGGGCAACAGGGCCCACCGCCCUGGGCGCGCCGCAGCCUCGGCCACUCCGAGUCGGCUCCGAUCGCGCACGCGCGCCGUGCACCUGCCCCAUCGCGCCCAGCUGCUGCCUGAGCUCCGGGCACGCCCGCGCUGUGCCGGCGGGGAGUGUCCGUCACUCUCAGCGCUCAGGAUCUCUCCCUUUCCAGGACCGCUAGGAAGCAGGAAAUCCUUUUCCUCUCACGUUUACAUCCCAUUCAUUCUUCCUCCGGGCAAUUCAAGUCCAUUCACAGCCGCCACAGAUGCACGUGUGCACGCGCGCAGCUGCACCUUUAAAGAAACUCUCAAGUCCUGGCGGCCAGAAAACCAGCUUUCAGGCGGGGCGGUGGGGCUCCCCCUCCCCUUGCUUCGUCUCUGCAGAUCUUUGUGCUCUAGGGAGGGAUGGCCGCACAUUCUGACGAGGACGAGGGUGGUGCAUAACGCGGAGGUCAAUUUUGCACAGUCCAGGCAAAAGAGACCCCCCCCCCCCACCAACAUCCCUUCCUGUUCAGUUUCCCUCUCUGGCCCAGCGCGAAGGGCGAGGGGCGACAGAAGCCCGAGGGACAGAAAACCGAGGCUCCUCAGUGGCCGAGUUGGGAGAGAGUGUGAGUCCAGGAGAGCCCGGGGGCAGCAGGGAGAGGGUGCAGAAGCUCGAGCGCACCGAGCCAGAGGCCCCCUCUUCUCCCGCCACGCGGGGCUGGAGGUGCAGGCGCCGGUUCCGCGGCGUGGCCCGGCUAUGUGUCGCUCCUCCGCGCGCCGCCCGCCGCAGCCCGUGCCCUCGGGCCGCCGCCGCCGCCGCUGCCCCCCGUCGAGCCCGCGGCCGCACCCUCGGGCCGAUACUUGAGCCAGCAGAUGACCCAGGUGACAACGACCGAGAAGAGUGCCAGGAUGCUGGCCACCGACAGGCAGAUGGGCCCCACGGGCGAGGGCGAGGGCGACCCGGUGGCCGGUGCCUCGCCAGGGGGCGCCCCGCCUCCGGGGGUUCCCCCGCCGCCGUAGUGGUUGACGAAGAUGAGGCCGGUGAAGAGCAGCACCACCAUGGAGAGGAAGGAGAAGACCACGCACACGCAGCCAGCGUGCAAUACAGUUGACCCUUGGACAACAUGGAUUGGAACCGUGCAGGUCUACUAACUAAUACACAGAUUCUCUUCCACCUAUGCCACCCUUGAGACAGCAAGACCAACCCCUCCUCUUCCUCCUCCUUUUCAGUCCACUCAAUGUGAAGACAAGGAAAAUGAAGAACUUUAUGA
rnacentral:lncRNA from 1 species